rnacentral:misc_RNA from 1 species
AACUGAUACUACCUGCGGGAACCUGCGGAGGGAUCAUUAUCGGGUCCCCGCUCCACGUAGCGGACCUCCCACCCUUUGUUUUCGCUACGAUCGUUGCCUUGGCGGGGCCAAGGGCCGGCUCCGCCAGGGGUCCAAAUCUCGAUAUUUAACGGUCGUCGGAGCCUGUUUAGAAAACGUGAAAACUUUCAACAAUGGAUCUCU